GGAAUUUUCUUCUUAGAUGCUAGACAACGAGUUUGCGGCUGGAAAAGAGACAGAGACGACAUUCCCAGAGCUCAUUAAGUCAUUAGUCACUGAUAACAUAAAACAAGAUAUGGAAAGCCAUAGAUAAUAGUUCUUCCUCAGGCUAAACUGACGGUGAAUUCAUCAACAAUAACAGAAACAGACUCAGUCACAUUAAGCUGUCAGGCUCCAGCUCGUGUUUCUGUGCAUAAGUGUCAUUUCUAUGUGAACAGUGGAACCCAGACACCAUUCCCUUGUAUGAACACAUUUACAGGAACUGAGCUGCUGAGGAUGGCAAAGAAAGGUUCAUCCUCUGUGGUUGAAGUGAGAUGUUAUUACAUUGUAAAAAAUGGAGUUGUAGAUUCUCCAUCUCCCCACAGUGAUACAUCCUACAUCACUAUAGGUCUAAAACCACAAAUGAGUGUUCAAUACCUUAAGGGGCAGUAUGCUAUCUUCAUCUGCUCUCUGCCUGGAUCUGUGAAACAUGAUACAACAUGUAACCUGUACUUUGGAGGAUCCAGUCAUCCAGCCAAAACAACAACCACAGGGAAGACGGAGACCAAUCAGUGGUUCUGCUGGACUGAGAUACAAGAAGAUGAAUUGUUGAAGCAUCUACAUUCAGUUCAACAGAAGGAGGUCAGCUGUGAUUACAGUUUGGAAAGUGAUGGGAAAUCUUUGUCACCUCGUAGUGAUCCAUACACCUUGCCUGACCCCCAAAGGUGCAGUGUUUAUCGGGCACCAAGAUGUAAGCAGUAGAUCAUUCAAGUCUUGUUAGUUGUGAGGUGGAACCUCCAGGAUCAGUCUUCUUUGACCAGCCCAUCCCACAGAUGCUGGAUUAGAGUCCUUGGAAUCCAAGUUAGCUCCUAGAACCAUUACUGAACCAUUUGUGAUUUUUUUGCAGGGUACUGAAAAAGGGCUUUCUCAUUAGUCUGUGGCUAUGCUGCCCUAUGUGCAACAAACUGUAAUGUACUGAUCUGACAGCUUUUUAUGAGUCUAUUUGAACUUCUUCAGCAGUUUGAGCUACAAUAACUCACCUGUUUAUUCUGACCACAUGGGCCAGCCUUCACUCUCCACGUGCAUUAGUGAGGUCGAGCCACCCCUCACCCUGUCACCGGUUCAUCACUGUUGCUUUCGCCAAUUUUAAUAGAGACUGACCACUCCAAACCUGCAAAACCCAACAAGAGCUGCACCUUUAGAGAUGCUUCGACCCAGUCAUCUAGCCAUUACUGUUUGGCCCUUGAGGUUGAGGACAAAAUGUUGACUUGCUCCCUAAUGUA